UAACAAGCUAGGUGAAGCUUGGGGAGAAAGCGGGUUGAUCGAAGCAAGUGAGAAAAGAAAAAGCGUAAUUCGGAUGCAAGGACCGAUUAGCAAAAUCGGAUGAUUUCGUCACUAUUGAUUGUGUGAUAAUGAAAACAAGGUAUGAAUCGGGUCUACUUGUUGAUCCGGGACAGGUAUGAUUUUAGCACCGGAGGAUGAUCAAGCACAACGAAGAACCGAACACGAUCAAGAAAUAAGCUUCCGCACUAUGUAUCGUUGUUUUGUUAAAUGACGAACUCAAAC